rnacentral:rRNA from 1 species
GUUGCGAAGAAAAGCUGCGACCUAACACGUCGCGGCCUUGACGUAACCAACUAAAGAAGCCACGGCUAACUCUGUGCCAGCAGCCGCGGUAAUACAGAGGGUGCGAGCGUUAAUCGGAAUUACUGGGCGUAAAGCGCGCGUAGGCGGUUUGUAAGUCGGUUGUGAAAUCCCCGGGCUUAACCUGGGAACUGCAUCCGAGACUGCAUAGCUAGGAGUGCGGGAGGGGAGAGUGGAACUUCUGGUGGAGCGGUGU